GACGAACGCUGGCGGCGCGCUUCACACAUGCAAGUCGAACGAGAAGCCCGGGCUUGCCCGGGUGGACAGUGGCGAACGGGUGAGUAACACGUGAGCAACCUGCCCCGAAGACCGGGAUAACACCGGGAAACCGGUGCUAAUACCGGAUGUCCUCGCCGGACCGCAUGAUCCGGCGAGGAAAUGGGCAGCCGCUUCGGGAUGGGCUCGCGGCCUAUCAGCUUGUUGGUGGGGUCACGGCCCACCAAGGCGACGACGGGUAGCUGGUCUGAGAGGAUGUCCAGCCACACUGGGACUGAGACACGGCCCAGACUCCUACGGGAGGCAGCAGUGGGGAAUCUUGCGCAAUGGGCGAAAGCCUGACGCAGCGACGCCGCGUGCGGGAUGAAGGCCUUCGGGUUGUAAACCGCUUUCAGCAGGGACGAAAUUGACGGUACCUGUAGAAGAAGCCCCGGCCAACUACGUGCCAGCCGCCGCGGUAACAC
rnacentral:rRNA from 1 species